UACGGGGGGGCAAGCGUUGUUCGGAAUUACUGGGCGUAAAGGGCUCGUAGGUGGCCAACUAAGUCAGACGUGAAAUCCCCAGGCUUAACCUGGGAACUGCGUCUGAUACUGGAUGGCUUGAAUUCGGGAGAGGGAUGCAGAAUUCCAGGUGUAGCGGUGAAAUGCGUAGAUAUCUGGAGGAAUACCGGUGGCGAAGGCGGCAUCCUGGACCGAGAUUGACACUGAUGAGCGAAAGCUAGGGGAGCAAACGGG
rnacentral:rRNA from 1 species